rnacentral:rRNA from 1 species
GGGAUAACACCUGGAAACAGAUGCUAAUACCGGAUAACAACAGAUGAUGCCUAUCAACUGUUUAAAGAUGGUUCUGCUAUCACUCUUGGAUGGGACCUGCGGUGCAUUAGCUAGUUGGUAGGGGUAAACGGGCCUACCAAGGCGAUGAUGCAUAGCCGAGUUGAGAGACUGAUCGGCCACAUUGGGACUGAGACACGGCCCAAACUCCUACGGGAGGCAGCAGUAGGGAAUCUUCCACAAUGGACGCAAGUCUGAUGGAGCAACGCCGCGUGAGUGAAGAAGGGUUUCGGCUCGUAAAGCUCUGUUGUUGGUGAAGAAGGACAGGGGGUAGUAACUGACCUUUGUUUGACGGUAAUCAAUUAGAAAGUCACGGCUAACUACGUGCCAGCAGCCGCGGUAAAU